rnacentral:siRNA from 1 species
UUCUUUUCGUGUGAGGAAUGAUGA